rnacentral:rRNA from 1 species
UACAGAGGGUGCAAGCGUUAAUCGGAAUUACUGGGCGUAAAGCGUGCGUAGACGGUCAUGUAAGUCGGGUGUGAAAGCCCCGGGCUCAACCUGGGAAUUGCAUUCGAGACUGCAUGGCUAGGGUGCGGAAGAGGGAAGCGGAAUUUCCGGUGUAGCGGUGAAAUGCGUAGAUAUCGGAAGGAACACCAGUGGCGAAAGCGGCUUCCUGGUCCCAGCACCGACGUUCAGGCACGAAAGCGUGGGGAGCAAACAGGG